rnacentral:tRNA from 1 species
GUGCCCGUAGCUCAGCUGGAUAGAGUGUCAGACUCCGACUCUGAAAGUCGCUGGUUCGAACCCAGUCGGGCAUACCA